rnacentral:RNase_P_RNA from 1 species
CGAGGCGGUCGGAUGGCCGCGCGUCCGUCGGGGGCAACCCCGUUCAUGGCGUGAGGAACGUCCGAGCUCCCCAGCGCAGGGUGGCGGGUAACGCCCGUCCGUCGUGAGACGAGGACCAGUGCCACAGUGACGAUGCCGUCGGCGGCGCAAGCCGGCGACGGAGUGAAACGCGGCAAACUCCACCCGGAGCAAGGCCAAAUAGGAGGGCGCAACCCGUGCGGGGCAACCCGUCGGGGGAGAGGUGCGCUGCCCAGCCCUCGGGUCGGCCGCAUGAGCCGUCGGGUAACCGGCGGCCUAGAUGGAUGGCCAUCCGCGACGGCGCGAGCCGUCGUGACAGAACUCGGCGUACAGACCGCCUCGCUGA